UACGAAGGGGGGCUAGCGUUGCUCGGAAUGACUGGGCGUAAAGGGCGCGUAGGCGGCACGGCAAGUCAGGAGUGAAAGCCCUGGGCUCAACCCGGGAACUGCUUUUGAAACUGCCGAGCUAGAGUGCGGAAGGGGCAACUGGAAUUCCCAGUGUAGCGGUGAAAUGCGUAGAUAUUGGGAAGAACACCUGAGGCGAAGGCGGGUUGCUGGGCCGACACUGAAGCUGAGGCGCGAAAGCCAGGGAGCGAACGGG
rnacentral:rRNA from 1 species